GACGAACGCUGGCGGCGUGCUUAACACAUGCAAGUCGAACGAUGAUCUCCCGCUUGCGGGGGUGAUUAGUGGCGAACGGGUGAGUAAUACGUGAGUAACCUGCCCUUGACUCUGUGAUAAGCCUUGGAAACCGGGUCUAAUACUGGAUACUACUUCCUGCCGCAUGGUGGGGGGUGGAAAGGGUUUUACUGGUUUUGGAUGGGCUCACGGCCUAUCAGCUUGUUGGUGGAGUAAUGGCUCACCAAGGCGACGACGGGUAGCCGGCCUGAGAGGGUGACCGGGCAAAAUUGGGAUGAGAAACGGCCCAGACUCCUACGGGAGGGAAGAGUGGGGAAAUUUGCAAAAUGGGCGGGAGCCUGAUGCAGCGACGCCGGGUGAGGGAUGACGGGCUUCGGGUUGUAAACCUGUUUCAGCAGGGAAGAAGCCACAAGUGACGGUACCUGCAGAAGAAGCGCCGGCUAACUACGUG
rnacentral:rRNA from 1 species